AUUGAACGCUGGCGGAAUGCUUUACACAUGCAAGUCGAACGGUAGAGGGGGCAACCCCUCGAGAGUGGCGAACGGGUGAGUAAUAUAUCGGAACGUGCCCAGUCGUGGGGGAUAACGUAGCGAAAGUUACGCUAAUACCGCAUACGAUCUAAGGAUGAAAGCGGGGGAUCGCAAGACCUCGCGCGAUUGGAGCGGCCGAUAUCAGAUUAGGUAGUUGGUGGGGUAAAGGCUCACCAAGCCAACGAUCUGUAGCUGGUCUGAGAGGACGACCAGCCACACUGUAACUGAGACACGGUCCAGACUCCUACGGGAGGCAGCAGUGGGGAAUUUUAGACAAUGGACGCAAGUCUGAUCCAGCCAUUCCGCGUGCAGGAUGAAGGCCCUCGGGUUGUAAACUGCUUUUGUACGGAACGAAAAGGUCUCUCUUAAUACGGGGGACUCAUGACGGUACCGUAAGAAUAAGCACCGGCUAACUACGUGCCAGCCGCCGCGGUAA
rnacentral:rRNA from 1 species